rnacentral:rRNA from 1 species
UGAGGAAUAUUGGUCAAUGGGCGAGAGCCUGAACCAGCCAAGUCGCGUGAGGGAUGACGGCCCUACGGGUUGUAAACCUCUUUUGCCGGGGAGCAAUGCUCCGCACGAGUGCGGAGCGGGAGAGUACCCGGAGAAAAAGCAUCGGCUAACACCGUGCCAGCAGCCGCGGUAAUACGGAGGAUGCGAGCGUUAUCCGGAUUUAUUGGGUUUAAAGGGUGCGUAGGCGGAACGCCAAGUCAGCGGUAAAAAUUCGGGGCUCAACCCCGUCGUGCCGUUGAAACUGGUGUCCUUGAGUGGGCGAGAAGUAUGCGGAAUGCGUGGUGUAGCGGUGAAAUGCAUAGAUAUCACGCAGAACUCCGAUUGCGAAGGCAGCAUACCGGCGCCCGACUGACGCUGAAGCACGAAAGCGUGGGUAUCGAACAGG